rnacentral:lncRNA from 1 species
ACUCCAAUUGGAUAGGCUCCAACUGCAAUCAUAAGUUACUUAACAAUUAUAUUUGACAAGUCUGAGUAAUUACCAUCUCAUGUAUAGCAAAAUCACAGCUCAUGUAUUCCCAAUCCACUUUGCAUGGAGUCAUUGGCCUCUGACUCCAGAAUAAAUCACUCUGCUUUUACCUUAUAUCUACACAUUUACAGCAAUGAAUCCCAGCCUUGAAUUCAGAGACCACAAAGUCUGUGCUCAAAUUCCCAGUAUCAUGACCAUGCUGUUUGAGAGGAUACAUUUCUUUUGCUUUUGUUUUUUAAUUUUUUUAAGUUUUUGUUCUCUCUUUACACUUUUUUAAUUUAAAGAUUUUUAUUUUUUUCCAAUAUAGUUGGUAUACAGUGUUCUGCCAAUUUAUACUGCACAGCAAAGUGAUUAUAUAUAUAUUCCUUACAUUAUCCUUCAUAUUGUUCCAUCAAAAGUGACUAGAUGGAGUUCCCUGUGACAGACAGAAGAAUCUCAUUGCUUAUCCACUCCAAAUGCAGUUGUUUGCAUCUAUUAACCCCAGACUCCAGUCUAUCCCAAUCCCUCCACCUCCCGCUUAGAAAUCACAAGACCAAGGUUUUCUUUUCUGUGGAAAGUUUCCCUUGUCCUGCAUAUUAGAUUCCAGAUAUAAGUGAUAUCAUAUGGUAUUUGAGUUUCUCUUUCUGACUUAAUUCACCCAGUAUGAGACUCUCUACCUCUAUCCAUGUUGCUGCAAAUGGCAUUAUUUUGCCCUUUUUAUAGCUGAGUAGUAUUAUAUAUAUAUGUCUUGGCUAUUGUGAAAAGUGCAGGUGCAUGUAAUUUUUUCAAGGAAAAAAAAUUUUUUGUCUGGAUAUAUGUUCAAGAGUGGGAUGACUGGGCCAUAUGGUAGUUUUAGAUUUAGUUUUCUGAGGUACCCCCAUACUGUAUUCCAUUGUAGUUGUACCAAUUUACAUUCCCACCAACAGUGCAAGGAGGAUUCCCUUUGCUCCACACCCUCUCCAGCAUUUAUUUGUGGACUUGUUAAUGAUGGCCAAUCUGACAGCUGUGACAUGGUACUGCAUAGUAUUUUUGAUUUGAAUUUCUCUAAUAAUUAGUGAUGUUAACCAUUUUUAUAUGUACUCAUUGGCCAUCUGUAUAUCUUCUUUGGAGAAAUGCAUUUUGCCCAUUUUUCUAUUAUUAUUAUUAAUUAUUAUCAUUUUCUGUAGAGUUGUAUAUGUUGUUUGAAUAUUUUAGAGAUUAAGCCUUUGUCAGUUGCUUCAUCUGAAACUAUAUUCUCUCAUUCCAUAGGUAGUCAUUUUUUUAUGGUUUCCGUUGUUGUCCAAAAGUUUGUCAGUUUAGAUUAUGUCCCAUUGGUUUAUUUUUGCUUUUAUUUUUUUUUGCCUUGGGAGACUAACCUAAGAAAACAUUUGUAUGGCUCUUGUCAGAGGAUGUUUUGCCUAUGUUCUCUUCUGGGAGUUUGAUGGUGUCUUGUCUUAUGUUUAAAUCUUUAAGCCACUUUUAGUUUAUUUUUGUGCAUGGUGUGAGGGUGUGUUCCAAAUUCAUUGAUUUACAAGUUGCUGUACAGUUUUCCCAGCACCAGUCUCUUUUUUCUCAUUUUAUAUUCUUGGCUUCUUUGUCAAAGAUUACUUGACUGGAGGUGUCUGAAUUUAUUUCUGCAUGCUCUAUUCUCUUCCAUCAGCCCGUAUGUCUGUUUUCAGGCCAGUGCCACACUCUCUUGAUUACUGUGGCUUUAUAAUAUUGCCUGAAGUCUGGGAAAGUUAUGCCUCCUGCUUGGUUUUUGUUCCUCUGAAUUGCUUUGUCUAUUCAGGUGUUUUAUGGUUCCACAUAAAUUUUUGAAUUGUUUAUUUUAUUUCUGUGAAAAACGCAUGGAUAAUGAUAGGCAUUACAUUGAAUUUGUAGAUUGCUUUGGGUAGUAUGACCAUUCUUUUUUAAUUUUAAUUAGUAUUAUUUUUUACCAUUUAUUUAUUUUUCUACUGUACAGCAUGGUGACCCAGUUAUACAUACAUGUAUACAUUCUUUUUUCUCACAUUAUCAUGUUCCAUCAUACGUGACUAGACAUAGUUCCCAGUGCUAUACAGCAGGAUCUCAUUGCUAAUCCAUUUUUAUGAUGUUAAUUCUUCCAACCCAGGAGCAUGGAAUAUAUUUCCAUUUCUUUGCAUCCAACGUUCGUUGAUUAAUGUUUUAUAGUUCUCAACAUAUAAGUAUUUCACCUCCUUGGUCAUGUUUUUUCCCAGACAUUUGAUUUUUGUGGGUGCAAUUUUAAGAGGUAUUUUAUUUUUGCCUUCCUUUUUAAUAUUUCAUUGUGAGUAUAUAGAAAUGCCACUGAUUUCUGAAUGUUAAUCUUGAUAAAAACAAAUAAUCAAAAUAAAUGAAAAAGGAGAAAUUUCAACAUGUACUAUAGAAAUACAAAAAAAAAAAGAGAAUUCUAUGAGCAAUUAUAUGCCAACAAAUUUGACAACCUAGAAGAGAUGGACAACUUUAUAGAGAUUACAGCCUGCCAAAACUGAAUCAAGAAGAAAUAGAUCAACUGAACAGACUGAUCACUAGAAAUGAAAUUGAAUAUGUAAUAAAAACACUCCAUACAAAAAAAAAAAAGUCCAGGAACAGAUGGCUUCACAGGAAAAUUGUAUCAAACAUACAAAAAAGAUCUUACACCAUAUUUCUUAAACUUUUCCAAAAUGUUGAAGUAGGAACACUCCCAAAGACAUUCUAUGAAGCCACCAUCACCCUAAUACCAAAAGCAGAUAAAGAUACUACCAAAGGACAAAAUUAUAGCCCAGUAUAUUUGAUGAAUAAAGAAGCAAAAAUUUUCAACAAAAUUUUAGCCAACCAAAUCCAACUACAUAUAAAAAAAUUUCAUAAACCAUGACCAAGUGGGAUUCAUCCCAGGUGCACAAGGAUGGUUCAACAUACACAAAUCAAUCAAUGUCAUACAUCACAUUAACAAAAGAAAAAUAAAAAACCACAGAUCAUCUCAAUAGAUGCAGAAAAAGAAUUUUACAAAAUCCAAUAUUCAUUCAUGAUAAAAACUCUUACCCAAGUGGGCAUAGAGGGCACAUACCAUAACAAACUAAAGCCCAUUUAUGACAAACACACUACAAAUAUUGGAGAAAAGCUGAAAGACUUCCCACUAAAAUCUAGAACCAGACAAGAAUUCCCACUCUCACCACUUUGAUUCAACAUAGUAUUGGAAGUCCUAGCCAACACAAUCAGGCAAACAAAAGAAAUUAAAAAGGUAUACAAAUUGGAAGAGAAAAGGUAAAAUUGUCACUGUAUGCAGAUGAUAUGAUACUAUAUAUAGAAAACCCUAAGGACUCCACUCAAUAAUUUCUUGAAAUGAUCGACAAAUUCAGCAUAAUGGCAGGAUACAAGAUUAACAUUCAGAAACAAUUUGCUUUUAUUCUUUCAAUCAGAGCAUGGGCACUAAACCCAUUCUGUAUUUCUUCACUGCACACAGAGGUUAAGCAUUAGCAUUUAUCAAGAUAAUAUUUAAAUUUGAGUAUGACAAUUUCAAUCAUCAUGGGUUUUCUUUCUGGUUCUGAUGACUUUUUGGCUCACUUUCAUUCGUUCUGCUUUUCUUGAGAACCCUGCCUAAUGCAGAAUUUGCUACUGAGAAUAGCUCUAGAAAGUCAGAAUUUUAAGGGUUAAUCAUCUAAAUGUGUUCUGGCAUCUCUGGUGUUGGCUACCUCAGAUGAUUCAGCAUUAGCAUUAUCUAAAGACACUAAUGAUUAUUUCUAGUAAUAUUCUAAUAGUCUUCACUGAUAGUCUGUGGCAUGGUUUUAUAAAAGAGAUAUGCAAUUAUUACAAUUGGCUUCUCAUAAUAAAGUUUAAGGAGCAAGGAUCUGAGUGGCUAGGUGUAUGAUAUUUUCAUGUAUUUUUUAUCUGGCUAAUGAAUAUAAUUAGGUUGAUUUGCCGCUUCUAAUAUCACUGGGCAAAUUAGGGAAUGGAAAGGAUAAACUAAUGGAUUCAAAUUCCCAACUUGAGAGCCAUAUAAAUGGCUUUAAAGUUUCAUUGCCUGCCCUUAUUUCCAGUAGCUGCAGAAAUGAGUUUUCUGAAAACACAACCCAGAAUCACUAAUCCUCACAGAGUGUCCUCACAGAGUAUUUAUACCAUUAAAUGAGGGCACUGAUAGUAGGGGGAAAAAAAGGAACCCUUAAAACUACAACAAAAUUAUGUGAGAAGUCCCUGAUGAAGUUGGGAAAUUGAUCCUGUAAAUUUUGCUAAGUCUACAUGGCCAAUAGAAGUAGUGUUACCAUUCUGAUCACUUUGUUGGAGAUAACUCUGAAGAUAAUGCAGAUAACUCUGCACUGGCUGAGAGAAGUGUUGUGUCCUCUUCUGAGGCUGUCAUUGUGCAAAUCAAUGUUGAUUCUCAUCAGGACCCACACACUCCACUUUUCUUUGCUUCUGGACCUAUGACUAGAUAGGAGUCCCACAAUCCAUAAAGGUGAGGCAGGAAGUAUGACCCAUGUAGAGGUACACUGCACUUUGAAACAACUGAUUUUCCAAAUUUAUAUAGACUAAUAUUGGGAACAUGUGCAGCCAUUAAGGAUGAGGGAGAGUGGCAGAACGAUCAUAAGAUCAGAUCAGUCCAAAUUGAUUGCUAGGGGCCUAUUUAGCCAAGAUCCUUCUUUCAUGUUGCAGAUGGCAGAGUUAAAAAGAAUUCUAACAGGUUUGAUUGGCUAGUCUGCUAAAACAUGGAGCAAAAAUGUGAGCUAAUUUUUAAUGGAGAACCUGCCUUGGUUUAAUGUAGGAAAAGUGACUCAAUGUCCUAGGGAGACUGGAAUGAUAGAGAGGAUUUCUCAUUUAAGGUGUAUUUACUCACAAUGGGAUUGUGCAAAAGAUGUACCUUUCACCAGCAAGGAAAGACAUAGAUUUGUAAAGGGAGAUCCAGCAUUCUUGAAAAUAUCCAUGAUUGGUCUGCUCUAUAGGCCAGAUUUUACAAAGUCUGAGGUUGCUAUACUGGGAAUUGUAAAUGCAGUGAUAUGAUUUGGAUCCCAGAGUGGCAGGAGCCACCUGGCAGCACUCAACCAUCAAAAGUUGGGUGGUCAUUGGUGUUCCCUUGUGGCUCAGCAGGUUAAGGAUCCAGUGUUGUCAC